rnacentral:rRNA from 1 species
GAGGAAUAUUGGACAAUGGAUGGAAAUCUGAUCCAGCCAUGCCGCGUGCAGGAAGACGGCCCUAUGGGUUGUAAACUGCUUUUGUAUGGGAGCAAUAAGAUCUACGUGUAGAUUGAUGAGAGUACCAUACGAAUAAGCACCGGCUAACUCCGUGCCAGCAGCCGCGGUAAUACGGAGGAUGCAAGCGUUAUCCGGAUUUAUUGGGUUUAAAGGGUGCGUAGGCGGUUGGAUAAGUCAGCGGUGAAAGUUUUCUGCUUAACAGGAAAAAUGCCGUUGAUACUGUCUGGCUAGAAUAUGGUUGCUGUGAGUGGAAUGUGUGGUGUAGCGGUGAAAUGCAUAGAUAUCACACAGAAUAUCGAUUGCGAAGGCAGCUCACAAAGCUAAUAUUGACGCUGAUGCACGAAAGUGUGGGGAUCAAAC